GACGAACGCUGGCGGCGUGCUUAACACAUGCAAGUCGAACGCGCCUGUCCUCUGGGUUUCUGGGGGGUGGGUGAGUGGCGAACGGAUGAGUAACACGUGAGUAACCUGCCCCCUUCUUCGGGAUAACGGUCUGAAAGGGCUGCUAAUACCGGGUAUUCACUGGUCUCCGCAUGGGGUCUGGUGGAAAGGUUUUUUUCUGGUGGGGGAUGGGCUCGCGGCCUAUCAGCUUGUUGGUGGGGUGAUGGCCCACCAAGGCUUUGACGGGUAGCCGGCCUGAGAGGGUGACCGGUCACAUUGGGACUGAGAUACGGCCCAGACUCCUCCGGGAGGCAGCAGUGGGGAAUAUUGCACAAUGGGCGCAAGCCUGAUGCAGCGACGCCGCGUGAGGGAUGGAGGCCUUCGGGUUGUGAACCUCUUUCGCCCGUGGUCAAGCCGCGACGUGGGUCGUGGUGAGGGUAGUGGGUAAAGAAGCGCCGGCUAACUACGUG
rnacentral:rRNA from 1 species